rnacentral:sRNA from 1 species
GCUGGGCACAGUGGCGCAUGCCUGUAAUCCCAGCAGCCCAGGAGGUUGAGGCAGAAGGAUCCCAAGUACAAAGCCAGCUUCAGCAAAAGCAAGACAGUAAGCAACUCAGUGAGACCCUGUCUCUA